UCAAUUCUCCGGCCCCACUCCCAGAGAACGGAAAAGCAAACACCGUACUUAUCAUCAUUGGUGUGCGCUGCCCAUCCGCAACAUUGUAGCCACCCAGGCCCCUUAUCAAAUUCCCAAAUAUUUCUACCUUGCCCUCCCCAACAAUGUUCUUCGCAAUGUUGCCCGCUUUAGGCUUCGUGUCCAUACUCUUUGGUAUGAAACAUCUACUUGGAAUCAGGGUUCUUCCUCUCAUUGUGAUUUGUGUCAGGAUGUAGAUUGUAUUCAGGAUCAAAAACAUGUUAUUUUUCACUGUACUCACCCCCAUGUCGUUGCAUUGCGUGCUAAGUAUGCCUUUCUAUUCAAUAACCAGGAGGCUCAAG
rnacentral:lncRNA from 1 species